rnacentral:tRNA from 1 species
UGGGGCGUCGUCUAAUCGGCAGGACAGCGGUCUUUGGAGCCGCGAGUGGAGGUUCGAGUCCUCCCGCCCCAG